AUCCACGAGCUCCCGUCUGCGGCUCCGGGGCGGCCCCGCCGGACCCGGCUGCACAGAAAGCGGCGACCCCGAAGUUUGCUCCGAGCGCCGCGGCGCGGGGAGGAAAGGCUGAGAGGGAGAGCGUGGGGUUCUGCCUCUGCCCUUCGCGUAGUCACAAUCCCGCUCCGAGCGGAGCAGGCUGCGGCUGCUGUACGGUACAGGAGGUACAUCUCUGGAAUGGGUGAGGGAUAAAGACUGGUAUGGAAGGCCCUCUACUCCGUUUCCUAUGCUUGUUAUUGUAACAGCUGCAGGAACCCACGCCUCCUCCUUUUCCCCUCCAACUUUCCCAAAAGCAAAAGACCCCACUUGACUUCUGCCCCCGCUGCUUCAGGAACGCGUAUCCUCCUUCAGUUCUGAACGACGUGUGUGACUGCUCCUGCUGACCCGCCCUUGCUGCGAUGUUUUGUCCCCUCCAGGUCUCUGAGCGCACAGCUGUGCCCCCACACAGCGCUGCGGGCAGAGAGAGCUGUACACACAGCUCUUCGUAUUGGAGAGAAGCCCACAGUUCAUCAAAAGGCAAGGGAGAAGGGAAGCUUUUUAUUUUUAAAACCUACAGCAGAGGGAACGCUUAAAGCCACACUUUGCACAGACGAAGCAUGUCUGGUUGGCAAAAUAAAUUGCAAGCUUACACCUGAUGAGCUUAUAACGAGUUACCUGCAGCCACUGACAGUACGUAAUGCAGCAGAGUGUACUGACAUAGGCUGCACUUGGAAACUUGCAGUUAUUUUAUUCUUUAGACACAGACUUUGAGUUCUCUGAAUGCAAGAAAGGCCUCUGCUUGUAAACCUUCUAUGAGGUUAAGGAUCUCCUGCUCCCGUGAUUGUAAUCCCUGGUGAAGGUGAGGCAGCCUCCAACUCCUGAAGCAAAAUCAUUCAUUUUUAGCUCUGGAAUGCACUAAUCCUAACAUUAGAAGCUGUAACAGGAUGUCUGCUGUCUGUGCCUCGAGUGCUGUCCUUCCAUUCCUGCUCAGGAAACCCUGGCUCCAUGCAGCUCUGUAAGCCAACCCACGUGCUGCAGAAUGGAGCUGUAUUUUUUUGGAAUGUAUUUAUUCUGUGCAGGUGGACUCAAGCAGCCAGGUUUGGUGCAGCUGCAGCCUUCAGCCCUCUUGGAGCAAGUUUCAGACCUGGUCACCAAGUUAUCACUAUUCACCCUGCAAAGUCCCCUCAUCCUUCAGCUAUAAAUAAGUCAGCUGCACUUAUCUCACACUGCAGUGAGCUGGGUAACUAUCUCUGAGCACUGCCCACCGAUGUGCUGGGAUGGGGUUGACCAAGCACCGUGCUGCAGCGCCUGGCUCUGGGUGUGACUUCUGAUGCUUCGGGACCUUGCCGUGUUCAGAGGGUGAGGUGGAGGAGAUGCCUUCCUAAGGUGAAGUUUCAGCAAGACGUGAUCUGUUAAAGCUGGUUAAUUUGGGAUGAAAAACGGAGGCUUGUGCUGUCAUACAUCUAGAAUCUAAGUCCUGGGUAUUAAUUUAAAACUCCCAUAUCUAACCCAAUCUAUUUGAGAGGAACAUUAAUGCCAAAUUCCUCAAAUGCUGCUCCAAAGUGAGGUUCUUGAAACCAAAGUGAAUGAUACAGAUUGCCAACUGUGAACAAAAGCUGGGUAAAAACAGAGAGGCUACCCAAACUGGAAGAUCUACCAAUUUGUUUAAGACUAUUUUCGCAUCGCCAGAUGGGUGAGAAAAGACUGCCCAGCAGCCUUUAAAGCUACAGAUGUUCAUAUUUUGCACCCUCCCUUACAGCACCGUGCUCAGCUUCCUACAGCCCGUGCCAUCCCACGCAGCAGCGCUUGCCCUGCAGAAUGCACCCAUUUCCAACAGUGCUUCAACAACCAUCCCAUUAACUGAUGGAGCUGCGGUCGGCCUUUACAGUGCUGGUUUGCUCUUCAGAUGUUCCUUCUGGGCGGCGUGUGCAAAAGCAGUGCUGCAGAAGGUGCUGACGUGGGCCAAAAUUAACGCAGGUGUUGUUCAAAUCAUAAGCAAAAAUAGAGGGCCAACUGGAGAGCCCAUCUGGAGCAAACUGUGCCCUGCCCCCACAUUUCUCCACUACAUUUACCUCCACUUAUGCAGGUGACAUUUUCAAUAAAGUUAAUUUCAAUAAAUAUUUAUAAAUUCCUGUUUGUGCAGCUGAAGGAAUCCUAGAAUUUUAUGAGUGUCCUGAGGACAUUACAGCACAGUUAAGUCUUCACUUGACUUUUAUUAAAAUUAAAAACCCUUUCUCAGCUGUUCUGUAACUGUUCUAUGUUACAAAGGAAAUUAAGAGAUUCUGGUCUUAUAACCGCAUACCUUACGCAACAUCACUGCACAGUUCCACAUCAAAAACCUCAAACCCUUUGGCAUGGUGCAUCCAAGAGCCAACUUAGCUGCACUGCACCAAUGCUCUGCUCUCUCCCACACCCACAUUAAGGUAUCCCCAACCCUUUCACAACCAAAUUCGUGAACCAGAGUUAAUGGUUAAUUAGCACCAUCACACUCUCCAACCCCAGGGGUGCAUUGUCCAGGCACCCCUCUAUCUCUGGUCAGCGCACCUCUCCCUCUGGUUGGCAGUCCCAUACUGGGGGCUGUCCGCAGGCUGCAUGGAGGUUCCACGCUUGCUCACAGCUAACCCCUUACAGACAAGGGCUUGAAGAGUAGAACUGAUGUUCUGUCUUUAGGCAAGCUAGCUAGUUUUCCAGGCCACACAACAGCAAAAACUAGGAAGUAGUUCCAGCAGUGUUGCAACAUACCAUGUUUCUUGCCUGUAAGCUUUAAGUGAAGACUUAAUAACUGGAACAUUCAUAUGAUCCCUCCCAAGUGAUUACCGUGGGCUCUAACAUCAACAAGAGAUCAUUCAUAUUCCAGCCUUUCCCAUCACGUGGGGCCACACGAACUCUCUUCCCCCUUUUCUGUUUUUGGCAGAUGUUGCAGGAACUAAAUGGCCUCAGAGCUGUUCGCGCCUCUUAGAGAUGAUGGGCUCAGACUUACAGGAAAAGAAAGGAGUAGACAGAGGCAGAGCCCACAGCUCACUGCUGCCGAGAGAUGGCCCUGCUUCUGCAUUUCUCCCUCCUGAGUACUUCACGGCACAUACACUGCCCACCCCUGUGCUCACGCUGUCUUUCCACAAAGAGACUCAGCCUACUGAAGCAAUGCGUGCACCCAUUCGGUUUGCUUUGCCAGGCUACCCUUCUCCAGGUGCAGCAGGAUCCUGCAGGUCUCCAAGUAGCUGAACAAGUGGGAUUCAGAGUACAGCAUUCACUCAGACCAUCUUUUCAACAGGAAUAAUCCAGAUCAUCGUCUGAAGCUGAUUGUUAACAAGGAACCCGUUAUCAAGAAUGAGGAGCAUUCUGCCCACCUCUGAUUCCCGCACUGAGUCACUUUAACCCACCAAGCCAGCAGGAAGUCAAUUGCAUGAAAAACUUAAGAAAAAGCUUUUUCUCUUAAUGAAUGGGUUACUUACGGGGCAUUAAAGGCACCAGAAAAGACAGACAAGCAUCAGAGCAGGUGGCAUGGAGAGGCAGGAACAGGACCUGCAGCACACAGCAGCAAAAGGCUGCGACAGUGGCUGAGCCGUAACUCACGCCCUCAUACAGCACUACACAGGCCUCGCUUCCUUCACUUGAAGUUCCUGCAAACAAUGUCAGGGGUUGAAGAGCUGCUCAUCACCUUAAUACCUUAGCAGUUCCUCCAAGCGAGAGAUUCUUUGUUCAAGAGAGGAUUAUAGGAGCAACUCCAGUGAACAGCCCACGCCUUGUUAGUGGGUUUCUAAGAAACAAGGUCACUGCUAACAGCAGGAGCACAGCAGCAGCAUUACAGCUGGACAACGUGGGCACGAUCACAGUCAGCCACCAGAUGAGCUGGCAAAAGUAAGAAACCAUUGUUUGCAGAACACAUGUGCACAGUGUUAAAAAUAAAACCAUUACUGGAUAUUGGCAAACUGACAAUUUUAUUGUCACCGUGUCAUUUGGGAAAUUUUCUGCAUAGAAUACAAACAAAAUAAGACAAAAAAGUUCAUGUGAAACUACCGUUUCCUCUUUAGGUAACCACGAACAGAAAAC